CCUACGGGAGGCAGCAGUGAGGAAUAUUGGUCAAUGGUCGGGAGACUGAACCAGCCAAGCCGCGUGAGGGAUGAAGGUACAGAGUAUCGUAAACCUCUUUUGUCAGGGAACAAAGGCGGGGACGUGUCCCCGGAUGAGUGUACCUGAAGACACAGCAUCGGCUAACUCCGUGCCAGCAGCCGCGGUAAUACGGAGGAUGCGAGCGUUAUCCGGAUUUAUUGGGUUUAAAGGGGGCGCAGGCGGGCUGUUAAGUCAGCGGUCAAAGCCCGGGGCUCAACCCCGGCCCGCCGUUGAAACUGGCAGUCGCGAGUUGGAGAGAAGUAUGCGGAAUGCGCGGUGUAGCGGUGAAAUGCAUAGAGAUCGCGCAGAACUCCGAUUGCGAAGGCAGCAUGCCGGCUCCACACUGACGCUGAGGCACGAAAGCGUGGGUAUCGAACAGGAUUAGAUACCCUAGUAGUC
rnacentral:rRNA from 1 species